CAGGACAUGUGAUCGCGGCUGGCUUUACGCCAGGUGAGGAAAGUCCGGGCUCCGCAGGGCAGGAUGCCGGAUAACGUCCGGCAGGGGUAACCCUCGGGAAAGCGCAACAGAAAAGAACCGCCGCGCACGCGGUAAGGGUGAAAAGGCAGUGUAAGAGACUACCGCCUGGCUGGUAACAGGCAGGGCAUAUGCAAGCCCCAUCCGGAGCAAGACCAAACAGAAGCAAUACGGCUGCCCGUCCGUCGUGCUUCAGGCCGGUCGCUUGAGCCGUUCGGUAACGGACGGCCUGGAUAGAUGAUCACACACGACAGAACCCGGCUUAUCGUUCUGCC
rnacentral:RNase_P_RNA from 1 species